rnacentral:lncRNA from 1 species
CUGGAUGUUUAAUUCACCAAUGCUGCUUUCCGCUACUUCAUUUUGCUCAUCCAUGGCUGCAAAAAUCUGGUUUGAAGUUCUAACCACUGGAUUUUGGAGGUUUAACUCACCAAUGCUGCUUUCCGCUACUUCAUUUUGCUCGUCCAUGGCUGCAGAUAUCUGGUUUGAAGUUCCAACCACUGGAUUUUGGAGGUCUAACUCACCAAUGCUGCUUUCCGCUACUUCGUUUUGCUCAUCCGUGGCUGCAGAUAUCUGGUUUGAAGUUCCAACCACUGGAUUUUGGAGGUUUAACUCACCAAUGCUGCUUUCAGCUACUUCAUUUUGCUCAUCCAUGGCUGCAGAAAUCCAGUUUGAAGUUUCAACCACUGGAUUUUGGAGGUUCAACUCACCAAUGCUGCUUUCAA